rnacentral:rRNA from 1 species
UACAGAGGGUACAAACGUUGUUCGGAAUCACUGGGCUUAAAGCGCACGUAGGUGGUUCGGUAAGUGCGAUGUGAAAGCCCCCGGCCCAACCGGGGAACUGCAUCGCAGACUGCCGAGCUUGAGAGCGGUAGGGGAGACUAGAACUCCUGGUGGAGCGGUGAAAUGCGUAGAUAUCAGGAGGAAUACCGGUGGCGAAGGCGAGUCUCUGGUCCGCUUCUGACACUUAGGUGCGAAAGCGUGGGGAGCAAACAGG